rnacentral:tRNA from 1 species
GCGCCCAUAGCUCAACUGGAUAGAGUGUUAGACUACGAAUCUAAAGGUUGCGAGUUCGAUUCUUGCUGGGCGCGCCA